UGGACUUGAUCCAAUCAAAUCCAAACCAAAUCUAAUUAAAUCAUAUUUAAUUAGACUUAAUCUCAGCCCAUUGGCUUAAUCAAAUUAAGCCAAUUAGCAAUCGAAUUGCUAAUCGAUCCUCAUGCAACACUUGCACUGGGUUAAAUAUCAAUCGUAUUGAUCAUUUAACCCUAGAACGAUUCUUAAUCGUUGAUCAACCAUCCGAUCGGAUCAUGAACUCUAAUGUGUGUGACCUCAUAGGUCUGAACCUAAGCUGGUAGCAUAGGAAUAAAUUCUUGUAUCAAUCAAAGUGACCAUCUAGCAAUGGUACCCGAUGAUCGGAUAGGUCGAAUGUGUAGAACAACAUCCUUAGAACCCAUGCGGAUAUAGUUUUCAUAUAAUUCAUCCCCUUGACCAAAAUGAUCAUAGGACACUCCAGAGUUCAACUAUCAACUCUGAUCAGGUUGUCCACAUUGUAUUUUAAAAUAUCAAAUCCAUCUGAUGGAUUAUCCUGGCCAAAGUUUUGCUAAAUUGAAAUACAACGACUCAUUCUUCUCCAACUCUUGGAGUGGUCAAUC
rnacentral:lncRNA from 1 species